UAAGGGAGUUAUACUGAGAGUGCUCCACCUGUUCCCAUCCCGAACACAGAAGUGAAAUCUCUCAAGGCCAAUGAUAGUGCUUAGGCGCGAAAGUAGGUGGCUCUCUUAU
rnacentral:rRNA from 1 species